rnacentral:rRNA from 1 species
UACGUAGGGUGCGAGCGUUGUCCGGAAUUAUUGGGCGUAAAGAGCUCGUAGGCGGUUUGUCGCGUCGACUGUGAAAACCUACAGCUUAACUGUGGGCUUGCAGUCGAUACAGGCAGACUUGAGUUCGGUAGGGGAGACUGGAAUUCCUGGUGUAGCGGUGAAAUGCGCAGAUAUCAGGAGGAACACCGGUGGCGAAGGCGGGUCUCUGGGCCGAUACUGACGCUGAGGAGCGAAAGCGUGGGGAGCGAACAGG